ACUGCUCAGCGGAUGGGUUACAAGUAAGAACGUAAACGAAGGAGUUUGUAAAGUGUGAAGCAACUCCUUGCGUGAGGGAACCGUGAGAGACCGGAAUCUUAUAAUUUGAGUUCCUUGGUGAAAACUGCAGAACCACAGCUAAUGAUUGCUGAAGAGAGGCUUGACACUUCCCUCAGCUCAGAUUUUGAACUUAUGAAGAGAAUCUAUCCAUCAUCCUUAUGUGAGGAAGAAACUAUUGGUUACUUGGGACAAGACUUCUUGAAAUGAAAUAGUAUAAUACGGCAAAGCCCCAGAGAAGAGGUUUCACUGAAAAAAGUUAAACUGAUCUCUGGCAUCAGAGAUGAAAGCUGAUGUGAAAUGAGCAUGUUUGAAGCUCUUCCUAAGGGGCUGCAGAUGUUUGCAUGCAACCUGCUGCACAUGGGUGUAAGAAAGACCUACUUGGCCCUCCAGACCUAGUAGAUUUGCAGCGGGGACACACUGGGGUGAAGUGGUCUGUGUGACUGCCUGUGUGCUGACUGCAAAGGGAAGGCCUGAGAGGUGCCUCUGUGUCUCAGCAGAGAGCUAAGAGUUCGCCUGACCAACUAGAACAAAAGCAUGUGGCCCCCUCCACUUGUCGGUUUGCCGCUGCUUGAGAGGCCCCGACAGUCCAACCUGUAUGAGUGCUGUGGGAUCCCAAAUUGUGAAUAAGCAAAAGAAAAGUAGCAAUCAUAAUCAAAGUAACUUGAGGGAUGAAGACCAAGUCAGAAACCUACACAAGUGGGACCUGCUGAGGCAGAAGUGAUGAAAGAAGCAGAGGAGAAUUUCCAGAAAAAUAUUAAUAACAUUCAAAGAGAGGCACUUAUACUCAACCCUUCCUCCAAAAUCCUUCAGGAAUCAGAAAAUAUGAAUUCCAAAUUAAAAUAAAUCAUUAUACAAACAAACGAAAAAAGACUAUGAUUACUGUUGAGGAAGAAAUGUCACCAAUGUGAAAGAAAUAUGAAGUAUGAAAAUCAUGAGUAAAGAACUUUAGAGCAGAAUCUCCCAACUGUUGGUCUUUGCCACAUUGUGGAGCAGCUGAUGGGGUACACAUGUGCUGAAAUAUUGACUCCCCACAAGCAGUGGGUCAGCUGUGAUGGGCCUCUGGUGGCUCAGGUGCCCAGACUGCUACCAUGAGCAGCCUACUUCAUUUGCCACUGCUGCUGUGAAAAAGAAAUGAAAGAGGUUGGGAGCUCUGCUUUAGAAGCUAGAUCCAGAGAGCACCUGUGUGAAUAACUGAAGUUCUAAAAGGAGAACAGAAACAUAGAGGAG
rnacentral:lncRNA from 1 species